AAUUAAUAUUUUGGUAGAAUGUUUGGGUUUUGUUAGUUUAUUUAUUUAUGAAUUUGUGUGCCUGCAGCUGUAGUGUCUCUGCUGCAAGUCUCAGUAUCCAUUCAUGUUUGUGUGCAUCAGGCAGUCCACUCGUGUACCAGCGAGUCCCCCCUGCAAGCGGCCGCAGAGCCGCUCCUUCGCUCUCCUGGGAAUUCGGGGAGCGGCACACGGCUCUGCGACGAAGCCUUGAUCUUUGUCACUUGGAGGUGGCACCAGGGAGCCUCAGGAGCGGCCGAGGAGUUGCUCCAGGCAGACCCUGCCAGGAGGGCGUGGGCGAAGCGUGCGGCCCGAGGAGCCCGGCGUUCUCAAGAGAAUAAUGCUGAGCACGGGACCACAGCCCGGUGACCAAAGGACAUUCCCUGCAGGCGAGGCAGCCUCCAUUGCCAUGCGACGUGGAUUCUCAUCCCCAGAUGCCGGAGAGAUAAGUGGAGGGCUAAGGCCCACAGAGGGGGUGAAAGCGGGGUGCUGGGAGGGCCUUUAGGAUCAGCUUUUGGGGCAGGGAUGUGCAAGAAGUGUCCCCUUAGGCCAGCUAAAGGCAAAGUGUCUGUUUUGAU